AUCUAACAUGUGUUCUGAGGAAGUCAGCCUUUACGGUUCAUAUAUGUUCUGGGGCUCAUUGAAAGAAGAACUUAUAUUUUCACUUAACAUGCUUAAUUGUUUCUUGCUAGCUUUGUUGUGAACUUGCUAUGCGCUUAUGUCGAUUUGCUUUGCUUCCGGUUUCCCUCAUGCAAGAGAAGCACAAGAUGAUGAUGAGUGAGAUGGUAACCAAGCUGACUAAUGUGUGCUGGGACAAAUGCAUAACCAGCACCCCAGGAAGCAAGUUCAGCUCCGGUGAAACUACCUGCCUGACCAAUUGCGCUCAGAGGUACCUUGACAUGACCGUGAUAAUUGCGAAGAGGUUUGAGAUGCAGUAGGGCGUCUCCAACUUCAGCCGGUUGCGUCAUCAAAAAGUUUCCAAACUCCGAGCUUCCUUUGAACAUGCCAACAAUGGCGAGUUUUAACAGUGAAAAUAUUUAAUCUUCUGUCGUAAACGCUUGGUUAGUAGUUGUAUCUGUGGUGAACCUUGAUGUGUUUAGCUUUCUUGUGAAGCUACUGUCAUUUGAUUCUCUGAUCAUUUAGUUGGUUUCGUUUUAAGUCAAUCAAUAUGAAGUCUGGCAACAAGUCAUGAAAUUAA